rnacentral:lncRNA from 1 species
ACUGCUCCACCAUUUCCUCUCUCUCUCCUCAACCACUUGCUUCUGUUUACCUCUACAAAGAAACCUAAUUUCUUCUCUCUUUUUGAGAUGUGUUGUCAAACUGAGCCAAUUAGUAGUUGUUUUAAUUACUUAUUGGCUGCUAGUGCUCUACAAUUUUAUAUUUAGAUUAGAGAAUCUUAGUAGCACCGAAUUCACAUGUUAACAUGUGUUUUUCCAUCAUAUUGCCUAAUUAUUUUAAUUUCUUGUAAUUCUUUGGGGCAAUCCAUAAGAUUGCUAAAUGUCCACUGUUAUAUUCUCAUUGCUAAUGUUCAGUAUAAUUGAUAAGAAUGGACCUUGGGCCUAACUCAACCCCAAAAGCUAGCUUAUGAUGUGAGGAUUGCCCAAGCCAUAUAAGAAGACCAAGGACCUCAAAUCUCUCCGAUGUGGAACAAGUCAACACACCCCUCACGCCCAGAUCUCUGGAGCGUGGACAACAUAAAUGGGGGCCCAACAUCGGUAACAAUAAACUUCGGGCCUAACUCAACCCCAAAAGCUAGCUUAUGGGGUUGAGUUAGGCCCAAGGUCCAUUCUUAUCAUGGUAUCAGAGCCAGGCCUAUCCCAA